rnacentral:rRNA from 1 species
GUAGGUGGCAAGCGUUGUCCGGAAUUAUUGGGGCGUAAAGCGCGCGCAGGCGGUUCUUUAAGUCUGAUGUGAAAGCCCACGGGCUCAACCGUGGAGAGUCAUUGGAAACUGGAGAACUUGAGUACAGAAGAGGAAAGCGGAAUUCCACGUGUAGCGGUGAAAUGCGUAGAGAUGUGGAGGAACACCAGUGGCGAAGGCGGCUUUCUGGUCUGUAACUGACGCUGAGGCGCGAAAGCGUGGGGAGCAAACAGGAUUAGAUACCCUGGUAGUCCACGCCGUAAACGAUGAGUGCUAAGUGUUAGGGGGUUUCCGCCCCUUAGUGCUGCAGCUAACGCAUUAAGCACUCCGCCUGGGUAGUACGGCCGCAAGGCUG